UUCUUGCUUUGCUGCUGCUGAUGCAGGUGAUCUUGGGCGAUCUUGUUGUCGACGUGCUGCCUCGCUAUCUUCCUUUCAACCAGCAGCUGUGCUUCCAGCUCUUUGAUCUGGAUAUAUAAUGAGAGAGCAAGUAAAUAACUGCGCUGGAGGAACCAAUUAAGCAGCCGAAGAUAAAAGAUGCUUGAAGUACCUUCUCUUGGAGAUUCAUAAUUCAAAAUCAACUGCCAUCGAAGCCCCUUCUUCAAUUUCUUCACCAUUUAAUGGCCGACACCGGCAAAAAACUCUUAUGUUACCUGAUCAAUACGCAAGACAUAGUAAUUAGUAAGUCUAUUAUUAUCACCAUCUGUUGCAGUAGCAAUAAAUCAAACCAACAAAUAGCAACAAAUCAAACCAACCUUUGACCUCUAUAAGCUUGUUGUAAAGAUCUUUUCUUUCUUUUG